rnacentral:rRNA from 1 species
AUUGAACGCUGGCGGCAUGCUUUACACAUGCAAGUCGAACGGCAGCGGGGAGGAGCUUGCUUCUCUGCCGGCGAGUGGCGAACGGGUGAGUAAUACAUCGGAACGUGUCGAGAAGAGGGGGAUAACCACCCGAAAGGGUGGCUAAUACCGCAUAAAUUCUGAGGAAGAAAGCUGGGGACCUAGGAAUAGGCCUAGCGCUUUUUGAGCGGCCGUUGUCGGAUUAGCUAGUUGGUGAGGUAAAGGCUCACCAAGGCGAAGAUCUGUAGCGGGUCUGAGAGGAGGAUCCGCCACACUGGGACUGGAACACGGCCCAGACUCCUGCGGGAGGCAGCAGUGGGGAAUGUUGGACAAUGGGGGCAACCCUGAUCCAGCCAUGCCGCGUGUAUGAAGAAGGCCUUAGGGUUGUAAAGUACUUUUGUUAGGGAAGAAAAGUCAGCUGUGAAUAAUGGCUGAUACUGACGGUACCUAAAGAAUAAGCACCGGCUAACUACGUG